CCUGGCUGUGGCUAGGAGCCACUCCCUAUAGGUGGUGAGGACUCCGUCCUCCCCCUCAAAUUCUGUUCUCCUGGUUCUUAGAAAAUCUCUGUGCACAUGUACUCAGGUGUUUCUGAGGACUCGGUUAUCUUCUUUAUCAGUGCCUGCCCAGUUCACAUCCAGUCUCUGAUGUUUUUUAAUCAUCCUGAGAAAAAUGAGCCUUGGCCUCCAGACACAUUAAAGCCAACCUCCCACCCAUGGAGAAUAGUGCUAGUUCCUGAGGACCUGGGGGGCCUGCAGCCCCAGGGCGAUUAGCCAGAAGCAGGUUCGUUUUCCUGCUUAAAACAGAGCUGCACAUAGCUUUCAUUAUGAUUCACACCAGCCUGAAGAAAAAAUUCAGCUACUGUGUCCUGGCCUUUUGCCUGUUCGCAGUCAUCUGUGUGUGGAAGGAAAGGAAGAAAGGGAGUUACUAUGCUUCCCUUAAAGUGCAAACCAAGGAAUUCCAGGAGCCAAAGAGCCUUGAGAAGUUGACCACAGGGUCUGGUUUCCGGGCUGUGCCAUCAAGCAGUACCCAGGCCCCCCACCGGCGCAGCCAGACCCUCAGUCCCCGGGUCCCACGCAAAGCCAAACCGCAGCCUACCUUCCAGGUGUGGAACAAGGACAGCUCAUCCAAAAAUCUUGUCCCCAGGCUGCAAAAGAUCUGGAAGAAUUAUCUACGCAUGAACAAGUAUAAAGUAUCCUACAAGGGCCCAGGGCCAGGCGUCAAGUUUAGUGCAGAUGCCUUGCGCUGCCACCUCCGGGACCGUGUGAAUGUGUCCAUGGUAGAAGCCACAGAUUUUCCCUUCAAUACCUCUGAAUGGGAGGGUUACCUGCCCAGGGAGAACAUUAGGACCAAGACUGGGCCGUGGCACCGGUGUGCCGUUGUCUCAUCAGCGGGAUCUUUGAAGUCCUCACAACUGGGCCAAGAAAUAGAUAAUCAUGAUGCAGUCCUGAGAUUUAAUGGGGCACCCACGGCCAACUUCCAACAAGAUGUGGGCACGAAAACUACCAUUCGCCUGAUGAACUCUCAGUUGGUCACUACAGAGGGGCGCUUCCUCAGGGACAGUUUGUACAAUGAAGGAAUCCUGAUUGUGUGGGACCCGUCCAUGUACCAUGCAGAUAUCCCAAAGUGGUACCGGAAUCCCGACUACAGUUUCUUCAACAACUACAAGAGCUAUCGCAAGCUGCAUCCCGACCAGCCCUUUUACAUCCUCAGACCCCAGAUGCCUUGGGAGCUGUGGGAUGUUCUUCAGGAAAUCUCCCCAGAAGAGAUCCAGCCAAAUCCCCCAUCCUCUGGGAUGCUCGGCAUCAUCAUCAUGAUGACGCUGUGUGACCAGGUGGACGUAUAUGAGUUCCUCCCGUCCAAGCGCAAGACCGACGUGUGCUACUACCACCAGAAGUUCUUCGACAUCGCCUGCACGAUGGGUGCCUACCACCCACUCCUUUUUGAGAAGAAUAUGGUGAAGUACCUCAACGAGGGCACAGACGAGGACAUUUACCUAAUGGGGAAAGCCACACUGUCUGGCUUCCGGAACAUUCAUUGUUGAGCACGGGCUCCUGGUCAGGCACCCUCGUUCUUCUCCAACAGUCACUUCGUGGCUGGUCCUUGGCCACCCCAGCCUGGCAGGACCAUUUUCAGGAGUAGUCUCAGCCAGCUGAUGAUGCGCUGGGGAUUCUGGUCAGCAGGAGCUCUGGGGCUUCCAGAGUUGGAGCAGAGGGACCAGGCCCCGCCUUCCCUGUAGCCACAGAGCUUGUGAGCCCAGCCUCCAGUCACACACACAGACACACACUUCACGUCCUUUGCACACAGCACCCUCCCCUCUUUACACAUAGGUAGAUGCAAGAUCUACCUUUUCCACUCAGGCUGCCGAAGCUGGAGGUGUUUUUCUCACAAACCAGCAUUCUAGGUUGCUUGAGAUCUCUACCUAGGUACUGAUGUUUUAAAGAAGCUCCCAAAUCAUGAUUGUGCCAGGUGCAGGGUGGUUCCGGAGGUGGGGAGCAAGUAGUGUGAGGUGUUGGAAACAUCUCAAUUCCUCCAGAACAAAGUUGCUCCCAGUGGCCCUGCUCCCAGGACACGAUGCUGUCACCAGUCUGGCUGGCUGGGCUUGCCCUCAGCUGGCUGUUCAUGAGCAAAGAGCUUAUUAACCCUUUUCCCUCUCUAUGCAGAGAAGAAAGUGUCUGUCCUCAAGUGGUUGGCAAUGUCGUGUGACAGAGACGUCUAACAGGCACUAGUGUGCUAACAGUCAUUGAACUGGGAGCAGUGGGGUGUGGGGAGAGAUGAGACUGCUGUCCACGUGCCCAGGAGGCACACACUGUAUACUGCAUUUGUGGGUCCUAGAAGGCUGGACUGGACCUAGGGGAAGAGAAGAAACAUGUCAAGUAGUUUUCACUUGAGUCACUUCACUUUCCCUUUCUUCUUCUAUCAUCAGUAUUUUAUUCUCCAAAAUCUGCUGGAAUGUAAAGGCUCAAGGGUUUGUUUUUGUUUUUGUUUUUUUGAGGAAGUCUCCUACCUAUAUUGGCAGUAAGUGUAGUCCCAUGGGAGGCAUCAGACAAAGCAGAGCCCCUGAACUCUGUUUUCUGCAGGUUCGGCCUGGCCUGACCCUUUUCAUCCAGUAGAGAUUAUGUACUGUAUUCCAGCCCUUCCUUUUUAAUGCCUACACCCCAAACCUCUUCCUAUCUGCUAUCAUUUUAAGCCCUUUUAUUGUCCCCUUCCUAAUUACUUUCAAUCAUAUUUUACUUUGAAAGUAUCCUGAUCUCAUUUUCUUUGACCCCCAUGAGCCUUUUGCAAAAAGGUCCCUUAGGGAGUGGGGGGAAUGUGAUUCUCUAGGAUUUAUAUCACUCUGAGAGGUCAGAACCCUGGAGAUCGCAACUGACUCUCAGAAGGUCUGAUGUGUAUGGAAUCAGAUUGCCACACUUUCCACCCUGUCCUGGCGAGGGAGCAUCGUGAGAGUCCCUGGAUGGUGGCUGCCCAGUGUGGUUUGCAAGUAUCCUCCUGAGAUGUUCUUGCUGUUCCCUUUCCAUUUGGCCCCCAUGUGGAGAAGUUCAAUGAUUUGCUCAAGGUCACAAAGAAAGGAUGUAGAGCCAGGGCUCUUAGAAUGAGCCCUCUGGACUCCCACGUGCUGCAGGGUCUACAGUGGUUGAGCUCCAGACCAAGCAUCUUGGAAUUGGAUACUCAUCUGCUGCCACUCCCUUGGCCUCUGUAGGCAGGAGAAAAAGCCCUGGAGUGAGAAGCUUUAGGUUUAUAAAUUGAUGCUUCCCUACUUAAUUGCUGUGGCACCUUGGGAAAAUCCUCAUCCCUGUUUCCAUGUCUGAAAAAUUAGAGUGAUGAUCCUAUCUUAUGGGGCAAUUACGAAGAUUGCAGAAAAGUAAUUGUAUUAGAUAGUGCUCAAUACAUGCUGGCUUCCUUCCCUCUUUUCUUUCUUCCUUCAUGAGGAGCUCACACCUGGGCUGGACCAUGCUGCAGUGGAGAAUGGGGUGGGAGAGAGGAGCAGAGGGUCUGUCUUCAGGAAAUUUGCUGUUGUAUUGGGAGACAACAACUGCUCCUCUUGGGACAUCUGAGAAAACACUCAAGUCUAUGGGCGUGCAGAGCCUGUUCCUCCUCGUUGCCUGCAGGUCAGAUCAACUCUGCUUGGGAAAGAGUGGAGUACUUGGGAUGCUGGACUGCUGUAAAGGAGACUCCUUAUCCAUCUUUGAGCCCCUGAAUUCCCGGAUUAUUUGAUGCCCUGAGUUGACACACUCAUUGUAACUCUGUGUCAUGGCCACAGAGUGUCAAGAAAGGUGGCACCAGCAGGAGAUAUGUGUCCUGUGUGGAGACUGAGACUACACUAGGUAGAACCUAGUUUUUAAUUAUUAUUACUAUGAGAUUAAAUUAAUUUAUGAUUCUGAAAUCUGUCGAACUUUGAAUUCUAUGCUCUGUAAAUGUGGAAAUCUUUGUAAAAUGCAAAUUAGAUGUGGAUAUAAUUGUAAGUCCCCGGUGUUUAAUGUUUUUGACAGAUAAUUUGAAGACUGUGUCUGAAUGCUGCAGGAAAGCCUAUCUGUGUGGGGUUCUGUCUUCAGUAGCCAUUGAUUCCUUCUGUAUCAUGAGGUCCUCUCUAAUCCUUCCACCAAUCGAAUAAGCUGUGGCUCUUGGUUUGGAGUUGAGACUGCAGUCUCAUCAGAAACUUCUGAAAUAUGCCUAAGCUAAUUCUGAAUUACCCAAAGAUUAUGUACAUUUUUAAAAUAAAGGUGAUUUUUAAAAUGCUUGCUUUCUCUCUUUUUUAGCUGCUGAGGGAAUGAAUGUUGACUGCUGAUUCCUAGAGGGACACAGCUAGGAUUUGAGGUCCUGAAUUCC
ensembl:lincRNA